CUUUGAUUUGAUGGGCUGACAUUCCAUGUUGGACUAGAUCCAAGACCCAGAUUUUCCUCACUUGAGAUAAACAGCUAUUGGUUAACUGUGGCUCUGUGUGAGGAACGACUGCACUCUGCCGCACAGGGGCCACGCCUAAGGGGUCACCAAGAGGGGUGCCAUCCUCCAAGAACUUGAUUUCGUCAACAUCUGUACAGUCAUUUAGAAUUUCCAUAAAGAGCCUAGCAAGAAAGGAAAAAAUAUAUAGAUUGGGUGGAAUACAACUGUGCUAUUAAGCAUGGGCAGAUCCAGGUGGGCUUUUUUUCAUUCAUCUGGAGGUACAAUGCUGCAUCAAAACACUGGAGAUGGGAGCAGAACUUACUGGGCACAUAAGUGAGACUCGCAAACUAGUUGUGGCUAUUUCGCUGUCAGGGUCCGCUGUGAGCUUUUCUUUUACUGAAAUCAUGGGCAAAAGGAAGGAAAGUGAGAUGAACGUUCAGGAUAUUAAACAAUUUUGAGCAUGA